GCCCUGGUGGUCCAGUGGCUAAGACACUGUGCUUCCAAUGCAGGGGGCUCAGGUUUGAUUCCUAGUCAGGGAA
rfam:Ovis aries breed Texel chromosome 2, whole genome shotgun sequence.